UACGUAGGGUGCGAGCGUUAAUCGGAAUUACUGGGCGUAAUGCGUGCGCAGGCGGUUUUGUAAGUCAGAUGUGAAAUCCCCGGGCUUAACCUGGGAACUGCGUUUGAAACUACAAGGCUAGAGUGUGGCAGAGGGGGGUGGAAUUCCACGUGUAGCAGUGAAAUGCGUAGAGAUGUGGAGGAACACAGAUGGCGAAGGCAGCCCCCUGGGUUAACACUGACGCUCAGGCACGAAAGCGUGGGGAGCAAACAGG
rnacentral:rRNA from 1 species